UAUAGUCUAGCCUGCUCACUGAUAAAAUUAUUAAAUAGCCGCGGUAUCUUGACCGUGCAAAGGUAGCAUAAUCAUUAGUUUUUUAAUUGGAAACUAGCAUGAAUGGUUGGACAAAGAAAAAGCUGUCUCUUUCAUUAAAAUUGAAUUUAACUUCUAAGUGAAAAGGCUUAGAUAUCUUAGAGGGACGAUAAGACCCUAUAAAGCUUUAUAAAUUCAAAGAUUUUAUAUAUUUUUUUUAAUAAUGAUAAUUUUUCAAAAAUUUAUUGGGUUGGGGCAACAGAAGUAUAAUUAUCAAUAACUGCUAUAAAGUAUUACAAUUAUUUUUGUUAUUAGAGAGUUGUUGAUCCUCGAAAGGGAUUAAAAGAUCAAGUUACUUUAGGGAUAACAGCGUAAUUUAUCUUGAGAGUUCUUAUCAAAGGAUAAGUUUGCGACCUCGAUGUUGAAUUAAAAUGUCUUUAUAGUGCAGCAGCUAUACAAGAAGGUCUGUUCG
rnacentral:rRNA from 1 species